rnacentral:rRNA from 1 species
CAGCCGCCGCGGGAAUACGGAGGGAGCUAGCGUUGUUCGGAAUUACUGGGCGUAAAGCGCACGUAGGCGGUUAUUCAAGUCAGAGGUGAAAGCCCGGGGCUCAACCCCGGAACUGCCUUUGAAACUAGAUGACUGGAAUCUUGGAGAGGUCAGCGGAAUUCCGAGUGUAGAGGUGAAAUUCGUAGAUAUUCGGAAGAACACCAGUGGCGAAGGCGACUGACUGGACAAGUAUUGACGCUGAGGUGCGAAAGCGUGGGGAGCAAACAGGAUUAGAUACCCCGGUAGUCCCUGUCUCUUAUAC